rnacentral:rRNA from 1 species
UAGCCGGUCUAGUCCCCCGCCUGGGUAAAUCGUGUAGCUUAACUAUACGACUUCCGGGUAGACUGCUAAACUUGAGACCGGGAGAGGCUAGAGGUACUCCUGGGGUAGAGGUGGGGUUCUGUAAUCCUAGGGGGACCACCAGUGGCGAAGGCGUCUAGCUAGAACGGGUCUGACGGUGAGGGACGAAGCCCUGGGGCACAAACCGGAUUAGAUACCCGGGUAGUCCAGGGUGUAAACGCUGCUUGCUUGAUGUUAGUUGGGCUCCGAGCCCAACUAGUGUCGGAGAGAAGUUGUUAAGCAAGCUGCCUGGGAAGUACGGUCGCAAGGCUGAAACUUAAAGGAAUUGGCGGGGGAGCACAGCAACGGGUGGAGCGUGCGGUUUAAUUGGAUUCAACGCCGGAAAACUCACCGGAGGCGACGGUUACAUGAAGGCCAGGCUGAUGACCUUGCCUGAUUUUCCGAGAGGUGGUGCAUGGCCGCCGUCAGUUCGUACCGUAAGGCGUUCUGUUAAGUCAGACAACGAACGAGACCCUCACCUUUAAUUGCUACUGGUAAGUUCGCUUACUGGGCACAUUAGAGAAACCGCUGGCGAUAAGUCAGAGGAAGGCGAGGGCAACGGUAGGUCAGUAUGCCCUGAAUCCUCCGGGCUACACGCGCGCUACAAAGGCUAGGACAAUGAGCUUCAACACCGAGAGGUGGAGGUAUCUCGAAACCUAGUCGUAGUUCGGAUUGAGGGUUGAACUCACCUCAUGAGC